rnacentral:rRNA from 1 species
AACGCGUGAGGAACCUGCCUUGAAGAGGGGGACAACAGUUGGAAACGACUGCUAAUACCGCAUGAAGCAUAGGGGUCGCAUGAUUCUUAUGCCAAAGAUUUAUCGCUUCAAGAUGGCCUCGCGUCUGAUUAGCUAGUUGGCGGGGUAACGGCCCACCAAGGCGACGAUCAGUAGCCGGACUGAGAGGUUGAACGGCCACAUUGGGACUGAGAUACGGCCCAGACUCCUACGGGAGGCAGCAGUGGGGAAUAUUGGGCAAUGGGCGCAAGCCUGACCCAGCAACGCCGCGUGAAGGAAGAAGGCUUUCGGGUUGUAAACUUCUUUUAAGAGGGAAGAGCAGAAGACGGUACCUCUAGAAUAAGCCACGGCUAACUACGUGCCAGCAGCCGCGGUAAUACGUAGGUGGCAAGCGUUGUCCGGACUUACUGGGUGUAAAGGGCGUGCAGCCGGGUCUGCAAGUCAGAUGUGAAAUCCAUGGGCCCAACCCAUGAACUGCAUUUGAAACUGUAGACCUUGAGUGUCGGAGGGGCAAUCGGAAUUCCUAGUGUAGCGGUGAAAUGCGUAGAUAUUAGGAGGAACACCAGUGGCGAAGGCGGAUUGCUGGACGAUAACUGACGGUGAGGCGCGAAAGUGUGGGGAGCAAACAGGAUUAGAUACCCUGGUAGUCCACACUGUAAACGAUGAAUACUAGGUGUGCGGGG